UGGGGAAUAUUGCACAAUGGGCGCAAGCCUGAUGCAGCCAUGCCGCGUGUAUGAAGAAGGCCUUCGGGUUGUAAAGUACUUUCAGCGGGGAGGAAGGCGAUAAGGUUAAUAACCUUGUCGAUUGACGUUACCCGCAGAAGAAGCACCGGCUAACUCCGUGCCAGCAGCCGCGGUAAUACGGAGGGUGCAAGCGUUAAUCGGAAUUACUGGGCGUAAAGCGCACGCAGGCGGUCUGUCAAGUCGGAUGUGAAAGCCCCGGGCUCAACCUGGGAACUGCAUUCGAAACUGGCAGGCUAGAGUCUUGUAGAGGGGGGUAGAAUUCCAGGUGUAGCAGUGAAAUGCGUAGAGAUCUGGAGGAAUACCGGUGGCGAAGGCGGCCCCCUGGACAAAGACUGACGCUCAGGUGCGAAAGCGUGGGGAGCAAACA
rnacentral:rRNA from 1 species